UUUUUUUUUUUUUUUUUGUAGUGGAAGUUAAUUUUCUCUUACAGUGCAAGUGGAUUGUUGACUGGUGUUUGUAGAAUACCUACAUUUGUAAUGCAUAUAUUUUUAUAUCAGUGAGAAAGAUCUGAUAAUGUGUGCUAUUAAUAACUUUUGUCUUAACAUACUUAUAAUACUACCAGGCAUACUGAAAGUGUUUAAUAUAAAUUUGUUGAAUAAUUGGUUUAGUUUUUUUUGAGAAUGGAGAAAGAAUCAAAUCUAUUUACCACUUACUGUUUUUCACUCUCCCUUCAGGAUUUUUCCAGUUAGGUAUUUUACAAUAUGUCUGGAGAGCACCAGACAUAAAGGAAUGUCUCUCUGGAUAAAAGAGUUCAUAGAUGAGUCAUGUUUGCGCAUGCUGCAUGGGUUACAUUUUCCCUUAGAAAUUCAGACAGUAUGUAAGUACACUAUGCCUCAAGAAAGGCAUGUCUACAUAAUCUCAUGAGACUGCUAGCUUUGGGGUUUGUUAGUACUGAGGGUGUUUUGUAAGGUGAUGCUUUGCCACUGAACUACAUCCCCAAAUGCACUAACUGUGUUCAGUUCAGCAAAAAGAAUCUUAAACCUAGAUGGUCGUGGAAUCUCCUGGUAUCCGAAGGACCACAUAUUGGAAAGUGUUGUGGUACCCUUUCUUUGUCCUUUCUGUUUUGAGGCAGGAGCUCCCACUGUAGUGUAAGCCUGUCUCGAGCUCCGGAUCUUCUUGCCUUGGGUUUCUUGCUGAUGUACAGGCACACACUUGGUCUGUAAUUUUCAAGGUAUAGUUUUAUAAACCUUAUAGUUAAGUAUAGAUUUCUUUUCAACCAAAUGAAGCACAAAAAUAUUAACUGGAAUUUUUUACUCACCCAGAUUUAAAUUAUGAGCAAAUAGAUUGCUCAGGCUUAGGUUAUAUUUGUCUAACUCUUUUUUUUUUUUUUCUCAUUUGAUAUUUUGGGUAAAAUAGCAUCUCCAUGGCCUUUAAAAAGUGAUGUUAUUCCAGGUGCUAAAUUAUUGUAUUUAAGAAAAAAAGAUCUAUAUUUUAUUGUUGGCUAGCUCUGCAUUAUGGAAGCAUUUCUGUCCUUACUCUGAGAUCAGUAAAAGAGACAGUUUGUCCCACUUCUAAUUUCAGCAUUGUGUGCUAAUGUGGGAAAUUUUCUAUCAAAAUUGCCCAACCUAGCUGAAUGAAGAAAGCUAAUCAUCCUAGUUUUUGAGUAUUAAAUCUUUUGUUUCUGUUCCAUUUUAUCUAUCUCUAAAAUAAUAUCUGUCUAAACUAAAAACACCUUUCCUUUUGAAUGUACCAGAUGGGAUUCCAGUCUGCUUUCUCUAGCUCCCUGUCCCCUGACUGGCUAUACAAAGUUCUUUUUAGUAAUGUUUCUUUAUUUGCCUGAUCACUCUUCUCCAUCCUCAUGGCUUUGCUUCACAUUUGCUUCCUUUUCUUCUUUUAAGAUG
rnacentral:lncRNA from 1 species